AUUGAACGCUGGCGGCAUGCUUUACACAUGCAAGUCGAACGGUAACAGGCCGCAAGGUGCUGACGAGUGGCGAACGGGUGAGUAAUGCAUCGGAACGUGCCCAGUCGUGGGGGAUAACGCAGCGAAAGCUGCGCUAAUACCGCAUACGAUCUAUGGAUGAAAGCGGGGGACCGUAAGGCCUCGCGCGAUUGGAGCGGCCGAUGUCAGAUUAGGUAGUUGGUGAGGUAAAGGCUCACCAAGCCAACGAUCUGUAGCUGGUCUGAGAGGACGACCAGCCACACUGGGACUGAGACACGGCCCAGACGCCUACGGGAGGCAGCAGUGGGGAAUUUUGGACAAUGGGCGCAAGCCUGAUCCAGCAAUGCCGCGUGCAGGAAGAAGGCCUUCGGGUUGUAAACUGCUUUUGUACGGAACGAAAAGGUUUGGGUUAAUACCCUGGGCCGAUGACGGUACCGUAAGAAUAAGCACCGGCUAACUACGUGCCAGCAGCCGCGGUAAGAC
rnacentral:rRNA from 1 species